rnacentral:tRNA from 1 species
UAGCUCAAUUGGUCAGAGCAUGGUGCUAACAACACCAUGGUUGUGGGUUCAAUCCCUC